rnacentral:tRNA from 1 species
GCCUUAGCUCAGUCGGUAGAGCGACGCUCUCGUAAAGCGUAGGUCGCCGGUUCGAUUCCGGCAGGC